CUUAAUUGAACAGGAAUUGUCGACGUAGCUCCAAAAAUGAUUCUGAUGAAAUUGGAAAUGGAACGUUUGGCACAGCGCAUCAACGAGGGCCCUUCGACCGUAGGUGGUGAGGACGAUUUGAGCAAGGUACGAUCACUUCGCAGGGAGCUGAAACAGUUGGAUGAAGAAUAUCAAAUGCUCAACAAAGCUUCCGGUGCAAAUAAUAAGCCCAAGGUCACCGGAUUUAUGUUUCCCAUUAGUCGCGAACAGGACAUCGAACGGCUGGAAGCUGCGGUGCGCUGCGAUAGUGACAUUCGAGCUCAAUAUGUCGAAUAUCUGAGCGUCACAAAACCGCUACGCCAGGGCGUCGGACAGGUGUUCAACAAGUACUUCACCGACGAAGCCAUGACCAACUACAACUGGCACGGUCUGGAUAGGGCACAAUAUCCACGGACGCCAAAGAAAGGCAUGCAGAAGUAUGAUAUAUUCCACAGUUGUAUGAUUGAUGCAUGGGAAAGUCAUGGUCUAGAUAAUGAAACACUUGUCGAGCAGAUUAAGAAAGCAGUUUAUCAUAUAAAUCGACGUCGGUACACCAAAAAACAGUCCCUGAAAAAGAAGUACACGAUUGUUGAAGUACAAGAGUAGAUAUUAUAUUGGAUGAUUUUUUUAUGACGAACCUUCUCCAGCUUCUUCAUGCAAGAAAUCUCUACGUUCUACGAUUGCAUUUUAUAGGUUGAACUGUAGUACUAGAUUUGCGUAUAAUUUUCAUUUAUUUUACUGCCACAUUUAUACGUGUCGUAAGGUGUAACACCGCCUAUGAAUAUCAAUAGUUGAAUAUAAUUGCAGCGAACUCUUUAACCAGCUUUGAUUUAAUAAUAUUUUAGAAAUAAUCUAUUAUUUUUUUAUCAUACAGCUGACUACCUGGUAUCUAACACACUCGCAUAUUUACAGAAACAUUUCGGCCCAAUCUGGUCAAGCGUAAACAAGAGCUGUUGAGAUACCUGAAGCCGUUCAAACGACCCGAACUACCGCAGCGGAAGGUAUCGGUUGAAGGAUUUUCCUUUCCAGUGUACACUUCGGACGAGGUGGAACGACUAGAGGAAGCUGUCCGCUCAUCCAGAAAUAUACGCCGACAGUAUAUAGCCUAUCUGGCCGAGCGGAAACCUCGCCACAUGGAUAUUGUGGAAUGCUUCGGCAAGUUCUUCACCGAUGAAGCGAUGGCUCCGUAUGCGUGGAAUGGCUACAAGAAUCCAAAGUUUCCACGCAAGGCAAUGAAAACUAUGGAUAUCUUCUCCACCUGUAUGCUUGAGGCUUGGCAACGACACGGAGUUACUUCGAUGGACAUCCUCUCGGACAUCAUGACCAAGGUGAUCACGAAGAUUGCCGGUCGUCGGCGGUCCAACAAUUAUAACCAACGGAAGCGCAUCCAGCAGUUUUGUGACAAACAUAAUGAAUAAAUGCUCAAUUUAUUCUAUAAAAUUUGAGUUUUUCAUUAUUUUUAUAGAGGCUGUGUUUAAAAUAGGGUAAAAUAUUUUGCAGAUUAAAUGAAUAUCGUUUCGUUCCAGAUGUGGUAGUUAUCAAGGAGGACUUGCAAGAGGCUUCUUCCACGGGAGUGACCGGGUUCAGCUUUCCGUUGUUCUGCGAGGAAGACGUUGAUCGACUCGAGGCUGCAGUCAAGAUGGAUCCUAUGGUUCGCCGGCAAUAUGUAUAUAAAACAUUUGAAAUCCCUAGGAGAGUACCAACCCAGCUUAUUUGCAAAGUAUGUGAGUGAACUAUUCAGUGAUCUCUCGCUUUACAACUACUGUGUUACAAUAGACGGGGAUGGACAUACUAAUAAAAAGGAUAUGAUCGGAUACGACAUUUUCACCCACUGUUUGCUUGAAGCCUGGGUGCCGCAAGGUCUGACUAUUUCCAAACUGACCGAGUUAUUGAAAUCGAUGACAACUAGCCUCAGCGAGAGACGACAAUUGUCCAUCCGAAACCGCCGAAAACGAUCGGAACUCAUUCAGAAGUGGCUCAUAAAGGAGAAUCAAAAACAGAAAUCUUAAGAAUGCAGUGAUAAAUAAAACUUUCUGAAAAAAAGAACUACAUAUUCUAAAUUUUCAUUCUCUCUAACAUGCAGUACUAGAAAGCUGUAUCAGAAACCUAGUAACGCAAAUAAUUUCAACGUUACAGUGAAAGGUCCACCCACUGGAGCUACGUCACAUAAGGAUUUUGAACAAUUGAAGCUAGAACUGGCGCAACUGGAUGUCCUUUUUAGCCAACGCCGGGAGACGAAACAAAACGUAAGUGGACGGUCGAUGGUCAAUGGUUUUGUGUUUCCACUAACAACGGAAACCGAUGUGGAAAGGCUGGAAGCGGCAGUGCAUUCGAACGCCACCGUAAGGGGGCAAUAUAUUCAACUGUUGAAAGCCAAAAAACCGAAACAUAUCGAUCUGGUGGAUUGUUUCACAAUGCUUUUUGGUUCUAGCUCUGUGGAAGCCUAUACCUGGAGUGGAUGUCGGAUAUCAAAAUUUCCAAAGAAAGCGAUGAAAAAUUACUCUAUUUUCAACGGAUGCAUGCUAGCUGCUUGGGAAUCACAGGAAAUGGACAUCAAAAUGCUGGAAGAGAACAUCAAACAAGCUAUUCAUCGCAUUCGAAGGCGCCGUUUGGCAAAAACCUUUUACGAUAAGAAAAAAUCCACCUCUGAAAUGUGAUUAGUUGUCGAAUAAAAUCCAUUAAAAUCCAAUGCAUUGUGUGUCGCAUUUGAAUGAUAAUUUUUAGUUGAAUCAAAGAUCACCUAACCUCGUUCAUUGUCCGUUACAGAUGUAUUCUAUAUAGCAGACACUCGUAGCCCUAGCACCAAAAAGGGUGAAAUCCGGCUGAAUAGGCGAUCUUUCAAAUUUGCGGUAAAUGAUGACGACGAAUCGAACGAUGAAGCUGAAAAUCCUAUGUUCCGAUCCGUGCCUGGGUUCAGAUUUCCGCUGAAAACAGCCGAAGAUAUUGAAGAUCUCGAACGCAGCGUUCGCGCAAGCGCCACCAUUCGACGACAAUAUAUUGAACUACUACGGAAAGCACGUCGACUGGUCGAGAAACCAUCGUUUGCCUUCCUGAAGUUGUUCAGCGACGCGGCACUGCUAGACUACAACUACAGCGGGCGAUGCAACUUUUCCGGAACACAGAAAAAAGCAAUGAAGGAUUACAAAAUCUUCGCUGAGUGCAUUGUUGAGGCUUGGGGUGGGGAAUCCUACUCGAUAGAAGAGCUUCGACAGUAUUUAUGCAAUGCGAUCACGUUGGUUAACAAUAGAAAACGAGGGGCUCGCUUCCGCAAGAACCAGCGAAGUACUAGAGGAGACAAGAAAUGACACCGCGGAUGAAAGCUGUGCUACCUUUUCUUUUUCGUUAUUUUUAUUCGAGAAUUAAAAACUUUUUAAUAUUAUUCUUCAUUUUGAUGAGGAAUUGUGUAACGAAUGGUUUAGUGGAAGAACAAUUUUUCAAAUAUCAAUCAAAGCGUACAAGAAUUCUUCCAAGUUUGAAUCAAUAUUUUCUUUUAUAAUGUGACUGUACACAAUCUAGUACUACAUAUUUUUGUUAAGGCUCAAUUAAAUUCAUACAAUUAUUUCAAUUUUCGCCACGAAGUUUGAAUCACUGCCCUAUAAGAUUGCAUCGCAGUUGAUUUGCUCAAAAAUCUAAAUAAUAACAAAUUCAACUCUUUUCAGCAUGGCGUUUGCGCUUAAAAAACCCUAAUAUCAGCUGCAGCGAAACUAAGGCACUGCUGGCUGCGGCUAUGGAGCACACUGGUGUACCGGGAUUCCGGUUUCCGAUCCGAUCUGAGGGCGAAAUCGAACGGCUAGAAGUUGCCGUCCGUAGUGACAUGUACAAAUGGGACAAUUAUGUAAGUUUUCAUCGGAUUACCAAGCCAAUGUGCAACAUAAGUUUUAUUUCUAGAUUGCAUUCCUGCGAGAUUUGAGGGCCAAUGAUCUCCACACACCAAUACGGUGCAUCUUCCAGUCGGUGUUCUACGACGAAGCUUUAGCCAACUAUAACUAUAAUGGAAUUAGCACUGCGCCGGGCGUUCAUAAGCGAGCAAUGAAAAGUUACGCCAUCUUUAGGGACUGCUUCGCUGUGGCCUGGCGAGAAUUUGGAAUCACCGAUGAUAUGAUUCGUGCCAUGUUGACAGAAAUUAUUAAAAAUAUCAACAGGCGAAAACGAAAUCGACAAUAUAAAAAUCGGAUACAGAAGAAAAAGAGGCUUCAAAAUUCGUUUGAAAUUACGAAUCCCUGAAAUGUCUGGUACAUUAGUUUUAUCAUGGCUAAUCAACAUGUCGAAUUUAAAAAAAAAACAUCGCCACCAAUAAAAUCAUCAUCAAGGGGGUACAAUCUAGUACUGCACUGCUCAAUUGUCGCUUUUGUGUAAUACUCCAUAACUGUCUGCAUGAAAUCUCAUGGAACAGUAAUAGUACACUAAUGACAACAGAAGGAAGACUGUUAUGCAUUCUCAACAAUAAAUCUUUUAAUUUUUCACAA